UUGGAGGGCAAGUCUGGUGCCAGCAGCCGCGGUAAUUCCAGCUCCAAUAGCGUAUAUUAAAGUUGUUGCAGUUAAAAAGCUCGUAGUUGAAUUUCGGGGUUCUACCGUUGGUCGGGCUUUGUCUGUACUGGUGUAUAGAAUUUCUACCUUCUGGGGAACCAUCAUGCUAUUAAUUUAGCGUGGUGGGAAACCAGGACCUUUACCUUGAAAAAAUUAGUGUGUUCAAAGCAGGCUUAUGUCUGAAUACAUUAGCGUGGAAUAAUAGAAUAGGACGGUGGUCCUGUUUUGUUGGUUUCUGAAUCACCGUAAUGAUUAAUAGGGAUAGUUGGGGGCAUUAGUAUUCAAUUGUCAGAGGUGAAAUUCUUGGAUUUAUUGAAGACUAACUUCUGCGAAAGCAUUUGCCAAGGAAGUUUUCAUUAAUCAAGAACGAAAGUUAGGGGAUCGAAGACGAUCAGAUACCGUCGUAGUCUUAACCAUAAACUAUGCCGACUAGGGAUCGGACGAUGUUAAUUUUUCUUGACUCGUUCGGCGCCUUACGGGAAAC
rnacentral:rRNA from 1 species